GACGUAGGGCGCGAGCGUUGUCCGGAUUUAUUGGGCGUAAAGAGCUCGUAGGCGGUUUGUCGCGUCUGCUGUGAAAUCCCGAGGCUCAACCUCGGGUCUGCAGUGGGUACGGGCAGACUGGAGUGCGGUAGGGGGAGAAUGGAAUUCCUGGUGUAGCGGUGGAAUGCGCAGAUAUCAGGAGGAACACCGAUGGCGAAGGCAGUUCUCUGGGCCGUAACUGACGCUGAGGAGCGAAAGCGUGGGGAGCGAACAGG
rnacentral:rRNA from 1 species